rnacentral:rRNA from 1 species
CAACUCCGAACCCAGCCGUGCCGCGUGCGGGAAGACGGCCCUAUGGGUUCUAAACUGCUUUUAUACAGGAAGAAACACCCGUACGUGUACGAGCUUGACGGUACUGUAAGAAUAAGGACCGGCUAACUCCGUGCCAGCAGCCGCGGUAAUACGGAGGGUCCGAGCGUUAUCCGGAAUCAUUGGGUUUAAAGGGUCCGUAGGCGGUCAAUUAAGUCAGAGGUGAAACCCCUCUAUAGCUCAACUAUGGAACUGCCUUUGAUACUGGUUGACUUGAGUCAUAUGGAACUAGAUAGAAUGUGUAGUGUAGCGGUGAAAUGCAUAGAUAUUACACAGAAUACCGAUUGCCAACGGCAGUCCUCUACGUAUGUACUGACGCUGAGGGACGAAAGCGUGGGGAGCGAACAGGAUUAGAUACCCUGGUAGUCCACGCCGUAAACGAUGGAUACUAGUUGUUGGGCAUUAUUCUCAUUUGACUUAAGCGAAAGUGAUAAGUAUCCCUACC